CCUACGGGAGGCAGCAGUGAGGAAUAUUGGUCAAUGGGCGCGAGCCUGAACCAGCCAAGUCGCGUGAGGGAUGAAGGUUCUAUGGAUCGUAAACCUCUUUUAUAAGGGAAUAAAGUGUGGGACGUGUCCUAUUUUGUAUGUACCUUAUGAAUAAGGAUCGGCUAACUCCGUGCAAGCAGCCGCGGUAAUACGGAGGAUCCGAGCAUUAUCCGGAUUUAGUGGGUUUAAAGGGUGCGUAGGCGGCCUUGUAAGUCAGCGGUGAAAGUCUGUGGGUCAACCAUAGAAUUGCAGUUGAAACGGGUGGGCUUGAGUGUGUUUGAGGCAGGCGGAAUGCGUGGUGUAGCGGUGAAAUGCUGAGAUAUCACGCAGAACCCCGAUGGCGAAGGCAGCCUGACAAGCCAUGACUGACGCUGAUGCACGAAAGCGUGGGGAUCAAACAGGAUUAGAUACCCCUGUAGUC
rnacentral:rRNA from 1 species